rnacentral:tRNA from 1 species
ACUAAUUUGGCAGAUAAAGUGCUUUGAAGUUAGAUUUCAAUAAUGUAAUUUAAAUUACAAUUAGUA